rnacentral:misc_RNA from 1 species
GUUUAAGCAUGGUGGAUUAUUUUUCAUGAAAUUAUGUAGAUGCAGUUGAAACAGAAUUAUUCGUGCCACCAUUCUCUUUUUUCUGCCUAUUGUUCUGUUUUUGGUUUUUAUUGCCAAACUUUUUUUGGUUUUGUUUUAUGGACUGAUAAUGUCUCACAUGUUGGCCUAUCCUUCUCUCAUUUAUUGUAAAAAUUCUUUGUGGUUAUUUUAACGGGAAAACCCAUUAAGAAGCCCCUAAACAGUUUCUGUUUUUGUUAUUGAGCACCUUAACUGAGUGCGUGUUAUUUAGCCCUUGAUCUAUUCAAUUGAUGCUGUUAAGUUAAUAAGUACUAAUAAUUGCAACAAAUACAAUAUCAGUUAAUUAGAUAAUUUUCAAUUGUUUGAGUUUCAAUAUGUAUUUCUAAUUACGUAUGUAUAAAAACUAAUUCAUUUCAUUAGACAAAAUAUAAUAUAAUGCAUUUGUAACCUAGCUAUAUAAAGACUUUAUUAUCUAUGAUUGGAUCCCUGGUCUUAUCACAACAGGUUCUGCUAUUAUGACCUGUUGUAAAAUUAGUACUCAUUACCACAAAGUCAAAAAGUUCAAGGGCUCAAUAAAACACUACUUCAUUUAGG